rnacentral:miRNA from 1 species
AAUUGGAGGAGGUGAGAAGGAGGAGGAGGAGGAGGAGGAGAGCGGCAGCCAAAAACAUAAACACUUAAACACAGAGAGGUGCUGACAACAACACAAUCCAGGACACGGUCUCUCACUGUGUGUGUUCCUCUCUGUCCAUCUGUUUACAUCAUUAAAUCUCUUUUCAAGCCUUUUUUUUUAUCUAUAUUAUGUAUAUGCCUCCUCCUCCUCCUCCUUCUCCUCCUCUUUCUCCUCCUUCUUCUAU